AACGAACGCUGGCGGCAUGCCUAACACAUGCAAGUCGAACGAGACCUUCGGGUCUAGUGGCGCACGGGUGCGUAACGCGUGGGAACCUGCACUUAGGUUCGGAAUAACUCCCCGAAAGGGGUGCUAAUACCGGAUAAUGUCUUCGGACCCAAGAUUUAUCGCCCUUGGAUGGGCCCGCGUUGGAUUAGCUAGUUGGUAGGGUAAAAGCCUACCAAGGCGACGAUCCAUAGCGGGUCUGAGAGGAUGAUCCGCCACACUGGGACGGGGACACGGCCCAGACUCCUACGGGAGGCAGCAGUGGGGAAUAUUGGACAAUGGGCGAAAGCCUGAUCCAGCAAUGCCGCGUGAGUGAUGAAGGCCUUAGGGUUGUAAAGCUCUUUUACCCGGGAUGAUAAUGACAGUACCGGGAGAAUAAGCUCCGGCUAACUCCGUG
rnacentral:rRNA from 1 species